UACGGAGGGGACUAGCGUUGUUCGGAAUUACUGGGCGUAAAGCGCACGUAGGCGGAUUUGUAAGUCAGGGGUGAAAUCCCGAGGCUCAACCUCGGAACUGCCUUUGAUACUGCAAAUCUCGAGUCCGGAAGAGGUGAGUGGAAUUCCUAGUGUAGAGGUGAAAUUCGUAGAUAUUAGGAAGAACACCAGUGGCGAAGGCGGCUUUCUGGUCUGUAACUGACGCUGAGGCGCGAAAGCGUGGGGAGCAAACAGG
rnacentral:rRNA from 1 species